CAAAAUCUGCAACCCCAAACACCUUUCUCCAAACAAAAAAAACACCAAAAUAACCCCCUUUAUCGAAUAUCUAUCUGAUUUAGAUCUUCCUUCCAACCUUUUUUUUCACCUCUUCCACAUGUAGAACCUCUCCACCUCAAAUAGGAGAUCACCAUGAAGAAGACAAAGAAAAGUUUUGGGAUAAAAUCUAGUGCUACAGAUUCUGGAUGCAGAAAUCCUAGGCACCCUUCUUCUUUCCUCCAC
rnacentral:lncRNA from 1 species